CUGGGGCUAGAUGGACCUCAGGAGCUGGAGAACACCUGCAGAUACUCACAGCAGCUCAUCAGCGGCCACACGUGCUACACACUCAGCUCAGCAUGAUCAGUCAGGAGAAAGAGAAUGAAGAUUUUAACACCAACAACCGGAUAAUACCGCUCUCCAGAGUCCAUCUUUCACCUUAUACUAAGUUCAAGUGUGUGCACUCAUUUAUCACAUGGCAAACCAGUGGAGCAGCAGACCAUCUGCCAAAAGACACCUGUGCUGGCCAACAUUACACAAGGAUUGAUGAGAGGAGAGAGAGCUAUCUAUCCAACAAAGGGGAUCAGGUCCAAUUGUGCUCUCUUUAGCUCCAACUGCUCCCAGAAUUGUAAGGGCUUUUGGGAAAUAUCUGAGCUCUAGCCUGGACUGGUGUUACCUGUGUUGUUGUCGAAGAAGCGGAUGUGGCGGUCCUCCUGCGCUGUGAUGGUGAUGGGCAGCGUCGGGUGACUGAGAACUUUAUUGAUCUGAUGAGGAGCAUCUGAGGACAAACAGGACAAAACAUCAGUGUACCUGGCUCCCCUGCGUUCUGAGACUCCAGCUCCAGCACCAGCUGCUGCGUCUCCAUGUUAAAAAUGCCCAUCCUCCCAUUGCUGAAGGCUGUGACCAUAUGAGCCGGCUCACUGCACACCAGGUCCACGGAGGAGGGGAUACCCAACUCUACCACACACAGGAGCAAAAUACUAAAUUAAUACACAGCGAGAGAGGGCGACGUAUCUGCAGCGUUCCACAGUCGCACCGUCCCAUCCCCCGAGCAGGACAGCACCCGGUGGUGCGCCGAACUGUACACCAAACCCCACACAGCAUCCGUGUGAC